rnacentral:rRNA from 1 species
UACGAAGGGGGCUAGCGUUGUUCGGAAUCACUGGGCGUAAAGCGCACGUAGGCGGAUCUUUAAGUCAGGGGUGAAAUCCUGGAGCUCAACUCCAGAACUGCCUUUGAUACUGGCGAUCUCGAGUCCGGGAGAGGUGAGUGGAACUGCGAGUGUAGAGGUGAAAUUCGUAGAUAUUCGCAAGAACACCAGUGGCGAAGGCGGCUCACUGGCCCGGUACUGACGCUGAGGUGCGAAAGCGUGGGGAGCA